rnacentral:rRNA from 1 species
AAAGCACUUUUGUCCGGAAAGAAAACCUUUGGGCUAAUACCCUGAGGGGAUGACGGUACCGGAAGAAUAAGCACCGGCUAACUACGUGCCAGCAGCCGCGGUAAUACGUAGGGUGCGAGCGUUAAUCGGAAUUACUGGGCGUAAAGCGUGCGCAGGCGGUUCGUUAAGACAGAUGUGAAAUCCCCGGGCUUAACCUGGGAACUGCAUUUGUGACUGGCGAGCUAGAGUAUGGCAGAGGGGGGUAGAAUUCCACGUGUAGCAGUGAAAUGCGUAGAGAUGUGGAGGAAUACCGAUGGCGAAGGCAGCCCCCUGGGCCAAUACUGACGCUCAUGCACGAAAGCGUGGGGAGCAAACAGGAUUAGAUACCCUGGUAGUCCACGCCCUAAACGAUGUCAACUAGUUGUUGGGUCUUCAUUGACUUAGUAACGUAGCUAACGCGUGAAGUUGACCGCCUGGGGAGUACGGUCGCAAGAUUAAAACUCAA